CUAAGCCAUGCGAGUCAUUGUAGCAAUACAAGGCGGACGGCUCAGUAACACGUAGUCAACCUAACUCGUGGACGUGGAUAACCUCGGGAAACUGAGAAUAAACCACGAUAGAUCAUAGUGCCUGGAAUGGCUUAUGGUCCAAACAGUUUACUGCCAUGGGAUGGGACUGCGGCCUAUCAGCUUGUUGGUGAGGUAAUGGCCCACCAAGGCGAUUACAGGUACGGGCUCUGAGAGGAGAAGCCCGGAGAUGGGUACUGAGACACGGACCCAGGCCCUAUGGGGCGCAGCAGGCGAGAAACCUUAGCAAUGUGCGAAAGCACGACUGGGUCAGUCCGAGUGAUUCCUGAUAAAGGAGUCUUUUGCCUGUCCUAAAAGCACAGGUGAAUAAGGGGUGGGCAAGUCUGGUGUCAGCCGCCGCGGUAAUACCAGCACCUCGAGUGGUCAGGACGUUUAUUGGGCCUAAAGCAUCCGUAGCCGGCUCUGCAAGUCUUCGGUUAAAUCCACCUGCUCAACAGAUGGGCCGCUGGAGAUACUACAGAGCUAGGGAGUGGGAGAGGCAGACGGUAUUCAGUGGGUAGGGGUAAAAUCCUCUGAUCCAUUGAGGACCACCAGUGGCGAAGGCGGUCUGCCAGAACACGUUCGACGGUGAGGGAUGAAAGCUGGGGGAGCAAACCGGAUUAGAUACCCGGGUAGUCCCAGCUGUAAACGAUGCAAACUCGGUGAUGCAUUGGCUUAUGGCCAAUGCAGUGCUGCAGGGAAGCCGUUAAGUUUGCCGCCUGGGAAGUACGGACGCAAGUCUGAAACUUAAAGGAAUUGGCGGGGGAGCACCACAAGGGGUGAAGCCUGCGGUUCAAUUGGAGUCAACGCCGGGAA
rnacentral:rRNA from 1 species